UACGUAGGGGGCUAGCGUUGUCCGGAAUCAUUGGGCGUAAAGCGUGUGUAGGUGGAUCGGUAAGUACCUUGUGAAAUCCCACGGCUUAACCGUGGAACUGCUUGGUAUACUGCCAGUCUUGAGCCAGCUAGGGGCUACCGGAACAAAUGGUGGAGCGGUGAAAUGCGUAGAUAUUGGGAGGAAUACCAGUGGCGAAGGCGGCUCCCUGGACCGGUACUGACGCUGAGGCGCGAAAGCGUGGGUAGCAAACAGG
rnacentral:rRNA from 1 species